CCCAACCUGAGCGGCAGCUUCUUACCUCUGGGUCUGGGCAGGCCCCUCUGCAGACUGCAGACCUUUUCCCUCCUCUUCCUCCUCUUCCCAGGGCACCCAGCUCCCAGUCAGAGCAUGUCCUGCCGCUCAGCGAGCCUGGCCCAGGUGAGACUCCGCCUGCCCAGUUAGCACCACUUCCGCUUGCCACCAGCCUGUCAUUCCAGGGUUUCCCUGUAGGGCCUGCCUGACCUGGCUUUUGGGGACUGUCUCCCAUCUGUUGCCUCAGCCCUGCUGGACUUUCGGAACCUCUGCCCUGAGAAGGCAGCACAAUCUGCUACUGGGGAUCGAACUGGAGUCCUUGCGCUUACAAGGCAGAUGGCGGAACCACUGAGCUAAAUCCCAGGCCCCAGCUUUUAACUUAACCAUUGACCGUACUUUCCUGUGUAUGAAGACCCUGUGUAUCAAAUGAGACUAAUGGGCGGACCCAUCCUGUGAUGUUUUCAGCCCUCAGAAAUGUGCUGUGCCAGCCGAAAGGCUUUCUUGACCGUCCCAGCAGCUCUGAGCACACAGAAGGGAACCCAGCGUGACAUCCCCCAGCCUCAGUGAGUCAGCAGCAUCCAGCCACAUCCUCAGCAUGCCGUGACACUGUGGGAGCACUCCUGGAGUGGCACCAGGGCCUUUCUACCUUUGCCCUGUGUCUUGAAUUGACUGAGCCCUGCGGGGUUGAGGUCAAGGCAACAGAGUCACCUCCUUCUGAGGCAUUAGCAGUCAGGCCUCCUCAGAGGCACCACAGGAAACAGAUGACAACCAAAUGUCAAAACUUUGUCAGAUGCUGCAGGUUCAGAACAGGACAGACCUCUGGCUCUGAGGGUGAGGACAGACCUCUGGCUCUGAGGGUGAGGACAGACCUCUGCCUCUCUCUGCAGCCCCAGACCUCAGGUUGGGACCAGGUCCCUCCUCUAUUCCUCCGCCACCUGGCAAUUCUACCCACCCCACUUCAUGCCCAAGUUCCAGUGCCACCUUUCCAUGAAGCUCUCUUGGAGUUCUCCCUUCCUUCCUGAUGGGUUCAGCCUCUGAACCUCUGAGCCCUGAAAGCCCCACAUCACUUUACCUGCAAGGAUGCUCAUAUCCAACUCCCUUGAGCCCUGUCUGCACCAGGCUGAUCCCUCACCCUGCACAGAGUGAUAACACAUUUAAUUCCCACAGCAGUCCUAUGGAGGAGGUGACCACAGGGAAUAUGGACAAGAAGGAUGAGGCCCAAAGACAGGUAGCAACCUACCCUAGAGCACAUGGCCACUAAGUACCAAGGGCAAGCUCUGAAGCAAGGUCUAUGUUGGGCCACAGUUCCUUGAUGUACCUCUGUGUCGUGCAGCCUCUAAGUUAAUGUAUUUCAUUCAUUCAUUCAACAAAACAUUUUCCAAGUGCCAGAUCUCCAACUGGCAUCUCUGGGCAUGAGACAGAUAUAUCCCUGCCCUCCUGGACUUUAUAGCUUGAUGAGGAAAUGAAGUAAGGAACUUUAAAAAAAUCAUAGAAGUGAUUAAUCAUCCAAUAAGUGUGAAGACAAAUAUUUACAAGCAACAGAGAAAGCAUGAAAUAGAGAACUCACUUUAGCCAGGUAGUCAGGGAAGACCUCUUGAAGGAGGUGACAUUUGUAACAAGGUCCUGAUGGAUGAGGAGGAGCUAGCCUUGGAAAAAGUCGACCUGGGGAACAGCAGACCAAGGAGGAGGAACCGCAUGUGCAAAACUCAGAGGGGGGACCAGCUCCAAGUGCGGAGAAACUGGCAGCUGGCAGGUGUGGCCAGAGCACAGGGACAAGAGAGGAGACCAAAGAGCAGAGCUGCAAAGACAGAUGGAGAUGGCAUCACCUCCCAGGGCAGUGGGAAGUGCGGUGGAGGAAAACAGGAACUGAGGAUCAAUUUAUAGUCAAGGGCAGCAGCUGGCAGACUCAGCUCUGCCUGCCCAGAUCAAGGCCAUUGGUCCUGGCCAGGCAGAACAACAUCCCUGUGCCCCUUUCCUGCCAACACUACAGAGUCUUGACAGCCAGAGGUAACAGGGACCAAGAAGGAGUCCUGCAGAAUACUCCACUCCCUGCUGCCACCAGGGUGCAGAGCAGGGUGGCCACCCACCCUCUGGCCAUCCAGAGAGCUGGGAGGCAGGCAUUGGCCCUGAGCAGGCAGUCUGUCAAUCCAUCACCCAUUAGGCCUCUGCAGCCUUGGCCCUCAGCCAUUGGUGGCUGCCCCGCUCUCUGAACACUGUUUCGAUAUGAGUAUUGAUGUGAAUAUAUGAACAUUUAUGUUGCAAGUAUGAUGGAAGUGAGAUAAUAAGGACAUGUGCUGGCACUUAAUUUGUUCAUCAAUGAUCUGAAUGAUUUUUCUUUCUGAACCGAGCUCAAAAUACUGGAAUACUUGUUGGAACUGAAUCACAAUUUUCCAGCUUCUGGUGUGAUUUGCAAAGCAUGCAGCCCCUGUGUGGGGUGUGCCUUAUCAUCCUCAUCUCCUCUACUUCCUCAAGUCUAUCCAGACAAUCAGAAAACAACAAAUCAAGGCCUGACUGAUAGCCCUUGCAGACUUACACAGUGUAAAUAUUACCAGCUUAGCAAGUUUCAGGAUGAAUUCAACACAGAGUUAGAGAAAGAUACCCAGGGGUCAGCAUCACACAGUAGGGUUUCUACCACACCACUGCAGUAAGUGUCGGUAACUCCAGGAGCACAUGUGUAUUCACUUUCUAGGGCUGCUGUAACCAACCCCCACAGGUGGGGGGCUUGCACAACAAUAUGUAAGUGCACCAUUCUAGAGGCCAGAUGGCCGAGAUCAAGCUUUGUGAGAAAUCCCUUCCCGUGCCUCUCCCCCCACUUCUAGUGGUGGCUGCAAUCUCUGGGGUUCCUUGGUAUGUAGAAGCAUCACCCCAUCUCUGCCUUCCUCUCUGCGUGGCCUUCUCCCCAUGUGCAUGUCUGUGUCCACGUUCCCCUGUUUUUUAAGGACACCAGUCAUUUUGGAGUAGGAGUUGACCCCAAGAACCUCCUGUUAACUUGGUUACCUCUGUAAAGACCCAGGCACCAAAUAAGGUCUGUCCUGAGGUGCUCAGGGUUGGGACUUGAACACAUAAAUUUGGGAGAAAGGUGAGAAUACCAUUCAACCUGUGACAAUGGAUUAUGGCAAAAUUUGGUCAUUAGGACAUAAUGCAUUGUAAGGAUUUAUUAUUAUAACUUAAUUUUGUUUAUGUAAUUUAAUUCUUAAUAGUAGCUGUGCUUAACAACCAGUUCACAAAGUAUCCAACAUUUAGCAGCUAGUAGUAUUCCACAGACCACUGCCCACCCCCCUCUUCUGCCCAGCUGCAUCCCCAACCUGCUUCUGCGGGCUCAGAUAAUGGACAUACUGUGCAUCUCCUCUGAGCAACCCAAAGCCUGGUCUCCACCUCCCGGAGGGGGUCCUGAGAAAGGGAUGCUCUGGAGGCCAGUAUGAUCACAGCUGCCCAGCUGGACUAGCAAAGAGCUGAAGACAGUCCACACAUGCAACUCCAGGAAAGCUCGGAAAGCACCGCCUGGCUCUGCCCCUGUAUGGUGACCAACCCUCUCAUUUUGCCUGGAUCGUCCCUGCUCAGCACUGAAAAUUCUGCAUCCCAGGAAACUCUUAGUCCUGGGCAAACUGAACACUCGGUCAUGCUCACCUCGUAAUCAUAGGGUCCCAGCAAAAAGAAAACAGAAAAUGCUUUUUGGUGAAAAUUAAGCAGAACACAGGGCAGCAUCUCUGCAGAUCUCAGAGAUCCAUUCCCUGCUUGGAGGCAAGGCUGGUGCCCAGGGGCUUCUCAGUAAGGUGUGCAGUGAGAACCGGGGUAUAAAUGUGGGUCAAGCCUCAAUGUGGCAGGGCAGUGCAGCCAGGAGAGGAGACCCAAGGAGUGGGCAAAGACAGCACCAGAGCGGGGUUCAAGUCCUAGCUCGGCCACACAGUAGAUGCAUGACUUUGAGGAGGUGGCCUGCCACCUGUGCCUCCAUUUCUCCAUCUGUAACAUCUUGGUGGGUGGUUGGUGGUUUCAGUAAGACCCACUGUGGAAAGCACAGUGCCCAUCUUGUCCAAGACACCUCAGCAAUACUGUCAACAAGCAGAGCCAAGUGAAUAGGAGUGUGGGCGCUUUUUUUUCUGUUUAUAAUUGUUUCCAUUGUGGCUAGUCUGGUGUUGUGUGUACAAUCAAAA